rnacentral:rRNA from 1 species
GACAGAGGUGCAAACGUUGCUCGGAAUUACUGGGCGUAAAGCGCGUGUAGGCGGACUUGUAAGUCGGAUGUGAAAUCCCUGAGCUCAACUCAGGAACUGCAUUCGAAACUGCAAGUCUGGAGUGGUGGAGAGGGAAGCAGAAUUCCUGGUGUAGAGGUGAAAUUCGUAGAUAUCAGGAGGAACACCGGUGGCGAAGGCGGCUUCCUGGACACUUACUGACGCUGAGACGCGAAAGCGUGGGGAGCAAACAGG